rnacentral:misc_RNA from 1 species
GAGAGGCAUUCUUUCUAUGGGGAGGUGAAGUUUUAGUGAAGCUUGUUUUUGUACUUUUCUUUGCAUUGUUAUGUUCUUAGUUUUAUUUUUUGGGUUCUAGAAUUAUUGGUUUAAAAAUAAAAAUACAUAUAAAGGCCCCCAUGGCUUGUUUUGCUGCACUUGUUACUGUCUUCAUUAGAAUAACAGUUUUACUUUUACUUUUACUUUUAUGUAUUCAUGUAUUUUUUGCUUGUAAAUAGAUGGUAUAAUUUUAGAAUGUAAUGCAUUGCAUUGAAAUUUCUCUUGUACUUGAGAGUAGCGUACUUGAGAGUUGGGCAGGUGAAAGUGAAUGUAUGAUAAAAUGCUAGAAAUAAAAAUCUGCCCGUAGAUACCAAAACUGGAUACUGUUCACAGUCCCAUUUUCAACGCUUCCACCUCCCCCCUUCCCAAUUGAUAUGUUUAAUGGAGGG